rnacentral:miRNA from 1 species
AAUCAUCCGGGAGUUGGGAAAGA